rnacentral:rRNA from 1 species
AUUGGCUCGCGCAGCUACCAUGCAGUCGAGCGGUAGCACAGAGAAGCUUGCUUCUUGGGUGACGAGCGGCGGACGGGUGAGUAAUGCAUAGGAAUCUGCCCGAUAGUGGGGGAUAACCUGGGGAAACCCAGGCUAAUACCGCAUACGUCCUACGGGAGAAAGGGGGCUCCGGCUCCCGCUAUGGGAUGAGCCUAUGUCGGAUUAGCUAGUUGGUGAGGUAACGGCUCACCAAGGCAACGAUCCGUAGCUGGUCUGAGAGGAUGAUCAGCCACAUCGGGACUGAGACACGGCCCGAACUCCUACGGGAGGCAGCAGUGGGGAAUAUUGGACAAUGGGCGCAAGCCUGAUCCAGCCAUGCCGCGUGUGUGAAGAAGGCCCUCGGGUUGUAAAGCACUUUCAGCGAGGAAGAACGCCUAGCGGUUAAUACCCGCUAGGAAAGACAUCACUCGCAGAAAAAGCACCGGCUAACUCCGUGCCAGCAGCCGCGGUAAUACGGAGGGUGCAAGCGUUAAUCGGAA